AUACGGAGGGUCCGAGCGUUAUCCGGAAUCAUUGGGUUUAAAGGGUCCGUAGGCGGGAAUCUAAGUCAGUGGUGAAAUCUUGCAGCUCAACUGUAAAAUUGCCAUUGAUACUGGAUUUCUUGAAUUAGUGUGAAGUGGUUAGAAUGUGUAGUGUAGCGGUGAAAUGCAUAGAUAUUACACAGAGUACCAAUUGCGAAGGCAGAUCACUAACACUAUAUUGACGCUAAGGGACGAAAGCGUGGGGAGCGAACAGGAUUAGAAACCCCGGUAGUCC
rnacentral:rRNA from 1 species